UACGGAGGGUGCAAGCGUUGUUCGGAAUUACUGGGCGUAAAGCGCGUGUAGGCGGCUUGGCAAGUCGGGUGUGAAAGCCCGGGGCUCAACCCCGGAAUUGCAUUCGAAACUGCCUCGCUAGAGUCCCGGAGAGGGUGGUGGAAUUCCCAGUGUAGAGGUGAAAUUCGUAGAUAUUGGGAGGAACACCAGUGGCGAAGGCGGCCACCUGGACGGUGACUGACGCUGAGACGCGAAAGCGUGGGGAGCAAACAGG
rnacentral:misc_RNA from 1 species